rnacentral:rRNA from 1 species
UACGUAGGGUGCGAGCGUUGUCCGGAAUUAUUGGGCGUAAAGGGCUCGUAGGCGGUUUGUCGCGUCGGGAGUGAAAACCCAGGGCUUAACUCUGGGCUUGCUUUCGAUACGGGCAGACUGGAGGUAUGCAGGGGAGAACGGAAUUCCAGGUGUAGCGGUGAAAUGCGUAGAUAUCUGGAGGAAUACCGGUGGCGAAGGCGGCAUCCUGGACCGACAUUGACGCUGAUGAGCGAAAGCUAGGGGGACAAACGGG